rnacentral:lncRNA from 10 species
AUUCAAACAAAAUUAAAUACCUAGGAGUUAACCAAAGAAGUAAAAGAUCUCUAUAAUGUAAACUAUAAAACACUGAUGAAAGGAAUUGACGAGGACACCAAAAAAUGGAGGCAUACUCUAUGUUCAUGGAUUGGAAGAAUCAAUAUUGUUAAAAUGUCCAUACUACCCAAAGCAAUCUACAGAUUCAAUGCAAUCUCUAUCAAAAUACCAAUGACAUUCUUCACAGAAAUAGAAAUAACUGUCCUAAAAUUUAUAUGGAACCACAAAAGACCCAGAAUGCCAAAGCUAUCCUAAGCAAAAAGGACAAAGCUGGAGGAAUCACAUUAACUGACUUCAAAUUAUACUACAGAGCUAUUGUAAUCAAAAUAGCAUGCUAUUAGCAUAAAAACACUCACAUAGCCCAACAGAACAGAAUAGAGAACCCAGAAACAAAUCCACACACCUACAGCAAACUAAUUUUUGACAAAGGGGCCUAGAACAUACACUGAGGAAAAGACAGUCUCUUCAAUAAAGAACAAAACUAGACCCCUAUCUCUCACCACAUACAAAAAUCAAAUUGAAAUGGAUUAAAGACUUAAAUCUGAGACCUCAAACUAUGAAACUACUAAAAGAAAACAUUGGGGAAACUCUCCAGGACAUUGGUCUUGGCAAAAAUUUCUUGAUUAAUACCCCACAAGCACAGGCAACCAAAGCAAAGAUGGACAAAUUGGAUCACAUCAAAUUAAAAAGCUUCUGCACAGCAAAGGAAACAAUCAACAAAGUGAAGAGACAACCCACAGAAUGGGAGAAAAUAUUUGCAAACUAUCCAUCUGACAAGUGAUUAUUAGCCAGAAUACAUAAGGAGCUCAAACAACUCUAUAGGAAAAAAAUUCUAAUAAUCCAAUAAAGAAAUUGGCAAAAUAUUUUAAUAGACAUUUCUCAAAAGAAAACAUACAAAUGGCAAACAGGUAUAUGAAAAACUGUGCAACAUCAUCAAUCAUCAGAGAAAUGAAAAUCAAAACCACGAUCUCGGCUGGGCGCGGUGGCUCACGCUUGUAAUCUCAGCACUUUGGUAGGCCAAGGCAGGCAGAUCGUGAGGUCAAGAGAUGGAGACCAUCCUGGCCAACAUGGUGAAACCCUGUCUCUACCAAAGAAAUACAAAUUUAGCUGGGUGUGGUGGCACGUGCCUGUAGUCCCAGCUACUCAGGAGGCUGAGGCAGGAGAAUUGCUUGAACCUGGGAGGCGGAGGUUGCAGUGAGCUGAAUUUGCGCCACUGCACUCCAGCCUGGGCAACAGAGCAAGACUCUGUUUCAAAACAAACAAACAAACAAACAACAACAACAGCAACAACAAAAACCUACAAUCUCAUCCCAGUUAAAAUGGUUUAUAUCCAAAAGACAGGCAAUAACAAACACUGGUGAGGAUGUAGAGAAAAGAGAACCCUCAAACACUGUCGAUGGGGAUGCAAAUUAGUACAAGCAUUAGGGAGAACAGUUUGGAGGUUCCUCAAAAAACUAAAAAUAGAGUUACCAUAUGAUCCAGCAAUCCCACUGCUGGGUAUAUACUCAAAAGAAAGGAAAUCAAUAUAUUGAAGAGAUACCUGCACUCCCAUGUUUAUUGCAGCACUGUUUACAAUAGCCAAGAUUUAGAAGCCACCUAAGUGUCCAUCACCAGAUGAAUGGAUAAAGAAAAUGUGGUACAUAUUCACGAUGGAGUACUAUUCAGCCAUGCAAAAGAAUGAAAUCCUGUCAUUUGUAAUAACAUGAAUGGAACUGGAAGUCAUUAUGUUAAGUGAAGUAAGCCAGGCACAGGAAGACAAACAUCACAUGUUCUCACUUAUUUGUGGGAUCUAAAAAUCAAAACAAGUCACUUUAUGGAGACAGAGAGUAGAAGAUUGGUUAUCAGAGUCUGGGCAGGGUAGUUGGUCAGGGGCAGGGAAUGGUGAAGAGGGAGGUGGGGAUGGUUAAUGAAUACAAAAGUAAUAGAAAGAAUGAAUAAGACCUAGUAUUUGCUAGCACAACAGGGUGACUGUAGUCAAUAAUAAUUUACUUGUGCAUUUUAAAAUAACUAAGAGAGUGUAAUUGGAAGAAAGGAUUGUAAGAAAGGAUAAAUGCUUGGGAGGACGGAUACCUCAUUUUCCAUGAUGGAUUAUGCAUUGUGUGCCUGUAACAAAAUAUCUCAUGUGCCCCAUAACUACGUAUACUUACUAUGUACCCACAAAAAUUAAAAAUCGAAAAAGUUUUUAAAAGUUUAAAAAAGAAAAACAAGUUGUUGGUAUGAUCUUUUGUUUGAUACAUUCUCACUAAUGAGAUGAUGACUUAAUCAGAGUUAUGAUUUGACAGACGGAAAUGCUCCAAAAUCCUCCAGUAACUUCCCUUCAAAUCAGUGGUUUCUAGGUAACUAAGAGUCUCAAAAUAGAGAAUUUCUCUAAAUAACAAUAUUUUUAUGAUAAUGAAUUGUUCCUGAGCUUCUGGUGGACUAAGAACAAUUGUAUUAAAAUUUUUUUUGGAUCCUUAUCCAAUUUCAUCUGAGCUUGUUAUUCAACAUCUUUUUAUUGGCUAAGUCACAAAAGUCUUUGGUGAAAUGUCACAUUUAGUUAGGUUGAGCCUAAUCCUUCCUGAGAGGGUCAUAGUAUGGUGGCUCAAACUGGGUGUGUGUCCCCACCAGGCUGCUUUCUUUUGUUCACUGGCUCAGCUGCUUACAUAAAUUUUAAAUGACUUCUCUUUGUUUCAGUUUUCUCAUCUGUAAAAUGGGGUGAUGAUGAUGAUGAUGAUAACUUCAAAUGAGCAAAAUACAUUUAGAUUGGUGCUUGGCUCACAAAAUGCUAAACAUGCAUUAGCUCUCACUUUAUUAAUAAAAUCAACGUCAGUACCCUUGACUCAAAGGUGUGUGGUGGGUUUUAACGACCAUGUCCCCUUAAACGGAGAUGAGGUUAAACAAGAACAGUGAAAAGAGGGAGUCCCAUGCACCCUGGUGUCCUCAGGCCCCAAAUCAUCCCCUUGGUCCCUUCCUUCCCCCAUAGCCUCCCUCCUGUCAUGGAGCAUCCACUAUUCCAAUGAAGCCCUCAAUUCCUGGCUGGGGCCUGGGUAGGGCCCCUACUGAGGAAGUUCUCUCCCUGGCUCUCUCUAAGCCCGAAUCCCAUGAAGGCUGUAAUCUCCACACCCAGAUAUGAGACAAGAUGACAAAUACUGUCACAAAUACCACCGGAAGAUGUAGAAAACAGUGUGGAAAAUUUAGAAGAGACACAUCUUAGAAAAAAUUACACUGGUCUGCCAUUCAAAGCUUUGCAAUGCUGCUGGAUAAGAUGCAGAUGUUUCAAACAUGUCUCUGCAUGAGAGCUGCUAGAUUCUAUUUCCACAAUGGAACAUAGGGAAAAAAAAAAACCACUUGUAAUGGGAAGAUGCACCAGGAAACACCUAUUCUAGACAAUAAACCAUUUCUUUUUAU